AUUAAACGCUGGCGGCAUGCCUUACACAUGCAAGUCGAACGGCAGCACGGGAGCAAUCCUGGUGGCGAGUGGCGAACGGGUGAGUAAUGUAUCGGAACGUACCUUUCAGUGGGGGAUAACGUAGCGAAAGUUACGCUAAUACCGCAUAUUCUGUGAGCAGGAAAGCAGGGGAUCGCAAGACCUUGCGCUGAUUGAGCGGCCGAUAUCAGAUUAGCUAGUUGGUGAGGUAAAGGCUCACCAAGGCGACGAUCUGUAGCGGGUCUGAGAGGAUGAUCCGCCACACUGGAACUGAGACACGGUCCAGACUCCUACGGGAGGCAGCAGUGGGGAAUUUUGGACAAUGGGCGCAAGCCUGAUCCAGCCAUGCCGCGUGAGUGAAGAAGGCCUCGGUUGUAAG
rnacentral:rRNA from 1 species